AGAACAAUCGAACAGGAGGUGCUAUCUUUAGACAAGUCUCAUUACCUGUUUCCGCUCAGCAACUCUAACCUAGAACGGUUCUGGUCAAGUAGACCAGCUGGUGGGUGCUUACUCCAACACUCAACGUUCUCUGAAGACCUUUCCCGGAGCAAGCGUUUAUACGGAUCGUAAACCGGGAUAAAAGCUUCAACCUGUUUACACCAUGGCAGCAGGCGCAACAAAGUGUUCGCUGCUCCUCUUGUUCUUGAGCAUUCUCUGGGGGACCUGCACUGGAACAAUGGAAGCUGUUACUACUAAGGAACCACCGUCCGUAAUGCCAACCACUGGAACAAUGGGUGAUAAUACUACUACGGCACCAAUGCCCACUGCAACGGCAAUAGCUACAUUUGAAAGUGUUAAUGCAACUAGUUUCAACGUCAGACUCGUUCUGAAUGCCACAAUGUUUACCCCUGCAAAAUAUUGCUGGGAAUUGGAGAGGACUACCAUUUCUGGUGUCUCAACAAGUUCGGUAAUACAUAACAUCACUUCAUGUGUUACGAACACGUCGGGUGAUGUCACCAUUCCAUUCACUUCGCAGGAGGAAAACUCGACAUACAAUAUUACCAUGGCAUAUUUUGAAGAUGUGACACAAGUAAAGGCCAACAUUACGGCAGCUGUCUCCACUACCACUCCCAGUGCAAAUCCAGAAAUAGUACCCAUACUCGGUGUGAAUCCAGCCCCAACUUCUCUGGUUGUAACGUUGGCUGCUCUGACUAAUUUACAGUGGAAUGCAGCAGGUACUAGAGAGUACGUCGUGUCAUGUCCGAGAUCAUCACCAUCAGGACCAGCAACAGCAACAGUCCGAGCUACUGAUUCUAGCGGUGUUCUACUCCCUGGCAAUGUAACUGCAAUGGUUGAUGGUCUAACCCAUGCUACAAUGUACACAUGCACUGUAACAGCCCGCGCAAGCUACACACUAUCAACCAUUUACUCGAGCAGUGCUACUGUUGUCAUCGCUACCACUGAAGAAAGUAAGUACACAUGGUGGCCUUUAGUUUGGUACCGGCCAUUACAGAAUGUUGUGUGUGUGUUGUGCCCUACAGUACCUCAUGCAUAAUCAG